AACGAACGCUGGCGGCAGGCCUAACACAUGCAAGUCGAGCGAACCCUUCGGGGUUAGCGGCGGACGGGUGAGUAACGCGUGGGAAUAUGCCCUUUGCUACGGAAUAGCCCCGGGAAACUGGGAGUAAUACCGUAUGUGCCCUUCGGGGGAAAGAUUUAUCGGCAAAGGAUUAGCCCGCGUUGGAUUAGGUAGUUGGUGGGGUAAUGGCCUACCAAGCCUACGAUCCAUAGCUGGUUUGAGAGGAUGAUCAGCCACACUGGGACUGAGACACGGCACAGACUCCUACGGGAGGCAGCAGUGGGGAAUCUUAGACAAUGGGGGCAACCCUGAUCUAGCCAUGCCGCGUGAUCGAUGAAGGCCUUAGGGUUGUAAAGAUCUUUCAGCUGGGAAGAUAAUGACGGUACCAGCAGAAGAAGCCCCGGCUAACUCCGUGCCAGCCGCCGCCGUAA
rnacentral:rRNA from 1 species